CCUACUUGGCAUUUUUAUGGAGAUGUUGACAUCUUUAUGACGCUGAGCGACCUUGUUCAGGAACAAGAGGUUUCUGUCAUGUCCCGCAGUGAUGGCUUCAAAAGAAGGUGAAAGAGAGAGACCUAAGGCCCUCCACCAGAGGCUCCAACUCCCUAAUGUCCUUCUUUGGAUAAUUUCAUUCAACAAGUUGCAAAUUCACCUGGCCAUCUUCUCAUUCGGCCUAUUUUCUCAUCUCGUACGAGCACUUUAACACGCCAGGGCUCUGACCUCCCGGACACGGUAAGAACUCUGGCUAGUAACAGACUUACCGCAUCCCAACUUGUUUUGCCAUAAAGCCCCAAGCAGCCUAAACCCCUUCCUUGAGCUGGAGAAGGAAGACAUCAGCUGAAACAGGAGGCUGCAUUCCUGCUGCUUAAUUAGCACGUCACGCACUUCAAAACGC